GUUUUAUAUAAUUGUUACAGGAGAAAGAGUAAAACAAAUGAGUUGAGUUUCUACUUAUUUUACUAACCUUGCUUUUAACAUAUAAUUGGUCACCUAACUUUUGAUCUUUUUACCCCACAUGAUUUAUGCUUAAAUUGAUUAACUUUUUUUUCAACUUUAACAAAUGCUUUUCUUAUUGAUAACUUGCUUUACUUUCAUUACUUUCCUUUGUAAGUCUCUUUCCCUUAAGCCACUUCCUUUAUGGAGUAGUUCUGAGGUGAGAUUGUUAUCAAUAUGGUUUUGGAAUGAUUUCUUGAUUUUGAACCCUUUCAAGAAAGGAUUUUUAGAAUCUUUAAUGUCCUCAAAUGUGAUGACACUGAGGAGGAAGAGUUUCAGUUAUAGAGUAGAGAAUGUUGAGGCAAAUUCUGAAAUGUCUGUGUUGGAUUUGCCUGAAUUGGUUUUGGAAUGUAUUCUUGAGAGGCUCCCACCUGAGGGACUUUGUAGUAUGGCAAGUGUUUGUAGUUCUUUGAGGGAGAAAUGCACAAGUAAAUAUCUUUGGGAAAAGCAUAUGAAAGAAAAAUGGGGUAGAGUUCUUGGUCCUGCUGCUCAUAGAGAGUGGUUGUGGCAUAUUUCUUCAAGAAAGGAUUCAAGUUUCUUUAAUCAGGCUAAAGAAAGAGGUUUAAUGACUUACCUCUCCCAGUUUUGGCCUAUUUCAAUCGUUAGAUCUAAUCCUAGCACUAGUUUCAAGAAAAAGGAUCCCCCAGUUAUUGAUUCAAUCAUGUCUAUGUAUCUUGCUCUUGAAUCUGGCAAGUUUUGGUUCCCUGCUCAAGUCUACAAUCGCGAGAAUGGGCAUGUUGGUUUUAUGCUAUCUUGCUAUGAUGCUGAGCUAAGCUAUAGUCGAAGAACCGACACUUUCCAGGCCAGAUAUCCUCCACAUGGAAGGAGGGCAAUGGCAAUAGAGACAGGUGUAACAUGGGAUAGAUUAAGAGUACCUCCUCUUGAUACCUCUCCACAUGAUCUUUAUAUCUCUGAUUGCUUGACUGAAUUAUGCCCUGGUGAUCACAUUGAGAUUCAAUGGAGAAGAAACAAAGAGUUCCCU
rnacentral:misc_RNA from 1 species